AAACGAACAAAUUCAGGGUAGAAGUGUCCUGUAUCUCGCGACGUUGCUAAAUUGACAGUUGUGGUGGUUUCGAAAUGUGUUUUUUUAAGACUUCAUUUGCUCGCUGUCGGUUUCAUCGUGGAAGUGAAACCGUCCUCCCGAAAAAGGGGAGUUGCUGGAGUCCGUGCUGGAGGAACAGUUCUUUCCGAAGGAUCCUCCAGCGCAGUUAUAUACCAAAAAAAAUCAACUGCCCGACGAAUGGUGCUGGAAUCGUUCAACUCGCGGCCCAGUUCGUGGCAUGAUGCCACCGUCAAACAUGUGGUUGAGCUGGCAAAAUAUAUGAAUGCUUAAACGUGCCAAGACCAGCAACGGCGUCGUUAUUUUAUUAACAAAGCUUUUAAU